CCUACGGGAGGCAGCAGUGAGGAAUAUUGGUCAAUGGACGAGAGUCUGAACCAGCCAAGUCGCGUGAAGGAUGACUGCCCUAUGGGUUGUAAACUUCUUUUAUAAAGGAAUAAAACGAGGCACGUGUGCCUUUUUGCAUGUACUUUAUGAAUAAGGAUCGGCUAACUCCGUGCCAGCAGCCGCGGUAAUACGGAGGAUCCGAGCGUUAUCCGGAUUUAUUGGGUUUAAAGGGAGCGUAGAUGGGUUGUUAAGUCAGUUGUGAAAGUUUGCGGCUCAACCGUAAAAGUGCAAUUGAAACUGGCAGUCUUGAGUGCAGAUGAGGAAGGUGGAAUUCGGGGUGUAGCGGUGAAAUGCGUAGAUAUCACGAAGAACCCCGAUUGCGAAGGCAGCUUACUAGUCUGUAACUGACGCUGAUGCUCGAAAGUGUGGGUAUCAAACAGGAUUAGAUACCCCUGUAGUC
rnacentral:rRNA from 1 species